GAUGAACGCUGGCGGCGUGCCUAAUACAUGCAAGUCGAGCGAAUGGAUUAAGAGCUUGCUCUUAUAAAGUUAGCGGCGGACGGGUGAGUAACACGUGGGUAACCUGCCCAUAAGACUGGGAUAACUCCGGGAAACCGGGGCUAAUACCGGAUAACAUUUUGAACCGCAUGGUUCGAAAUUGAAAGGCGGCUUCGGCUGUCACUUAUGGAGGGACCCGCGUCGCAUUAGCUAGUUGGUGAGGUAACGGCUCACCAAGGCAACGAUGCGUAGCCGACCUGAGAGGGUGAUCGGCCACACUGGGACUGAGACACGGCCCAGACUCCUACGGGAGGCAGCAGUAGGGAAUCUUCCGCAAUGGACGAAAGUCUGACGGAGCAACGCCGCGUGAGUGAUGAAGGCUUUCGGGUCGUAAAACUCUGUUGUUAGGGAAGAACAAGUGCUAGUUGAAUAAGCUGGCACCUUGACGGUACCUAACCAGAAAGCCACGGCUAACUACGUGCCAGCAGCCGCCGCAG
rnacentral:rRNA from 1 species